rnacentral:rRNA from 1 species
AUUGGGACUGAGACACCGGCCCAAACUUCUACGGGGGCAGCAGUAGGGAAUUUUCCCCAUUGACGAAAGUUUGAUGGGGGAACCCCGCCGGAGGGAGAAAGGUUUCGGCUCGUAAAACCUGUUGUUAAAGAAGAACAUAUCUUAGAGUAACGGUUCAGGUAUUGACGGUAUUUAACAGAAAGCCACGGGUAACUUCGUGCCAGCAGCCGCGGUAAUACGUAGGUGGCAAGCGUUGUCCGGAUUUAUUGGGCGUAAAGCGAGCGCAGGCGGUUUUUUAAGUCUGAUGUGAAAGCCUUCGGCUCAACCGAAGAAGUGCAUCGGACACUGGGAAACUUGAGUGCAGAAGAGGACAGUGGAACUCCAUGUGUAGCGGUGAAAUGCGUAGAUAUAUGGAAGAACACCAGUGGCGAAGGCGGCUGUCUGGUCUGUAACUGACGCUGAGGCUCGAAAGUAUGGGUAGCAAACAGGAUUAGAUACCCUGGUAGUCCAUACCGUAAACGAUGAAUGCUAAGUGUUGGAGGGUUUCCGCCCUUCAGUGCUGCAGCUAACGCAUUAAGCAUUCCGCCUGGGGAGUACGGCCGCAAGGCUGAAACUCAAAGGAAUUGACGGGGGCCCGCACAAGCGGUGGAGCAUGUGGUUUAAUUCGAAGCUACGCGAAGAACCUUACCAGGUCUUGACAUACUAUGCAAAUCUAAGAGAUUAGACGUUACCUUCGGGGACAUGGAUACAGGUGGUGCAUGGUUGUCGUCAGCUCGUGUCGUGAGAUGUUGGGUUAAGUCCCGCAACGAGCGCAACCCUUAUUAUCAGUUGCCAGCAUUAAGUUGGGCACUCUGGUGAGACUGCCGGUGACAAACCGGAGGAAGGUGGGGAUGACGUCAAAUCAUCAUGCCCCUUAUGACCUGGGCUACACACGUGCUACAAUGGAUGGUACAACGAGUUGCGAACUCGCGAGAGUAAGCUAAUCUCUUAAAGCCAUUCUCAGUUCGGAUUGUAGGCUGCAACUCGCCUACAUGAAGUCGGAAUCGCUAGUAAUCGCGGAUCAGCAUGCCGCGGUGAAUACGUUCCCGGGCCUUGUACACACCGCCCGUCACACCAUGAGAGUUUGUAACUCCAUAAUGUCAGGUGGGGUAACCUUUUAGGAACCAGGCCGCCUACUCUUUGUACAGA